rnacentral:rRNA from 1 species
GACGAACGCUGGCGGCGUGCUUAACACAUGCAAGUCGAGCGAUGAAGCUUCUUCGGAAGUGGAUUAGCGGCGGACGGGUGAGUAACACGUGGGUAACCUGCCUCAUAGAGGGGAAUAGCCUUCCGAAAGGAAGAUUAAUACCGCAUAAGAUUGUAAUAUCGCAUGACAUAGCAAUUAAAGGAGCAAUCCGCUAUGAGAUGGACCCGCGUCGCAUUAGCUAGUUGGUGAGGUAACGGCUCACCAAGGCGACGAUGCGUAGCCGACCUGAGAGGGUGAUCGGCCACAUUGGGACUGAGACACGGCCCAGACUCCUACGGGAGGCAGCAGUGGGGAAUAUUGCACAAUGGGGGAAACCCUGAUGCAGCAACGCCGCGUGAGUGAUGACGGUCUUCGGAUUGUAAAGCUCUGUCUUUAGGGACGAUAAUGACGGUACCUAAGGAGGAAGCCACGGCUAACUACGUGCCAGCAGCCGCAGUAA